GUAGACGACAAGGUUGAUAGGUCAGAUGUGGAAGAGCAGUAAUGUUUGUAGCUAACUGAUACUAAUAGGUCGAGGGCUUGAUCAC
rnacentral:rRNA from 1 species